AAAAAAAAAAGAAGAAAAGGAACAGACUUCAUCGUCCUCGUUGCUUACAACGUCUCUCUCUCGCCCUCAUCGCUUCAGACUCGCUCUCCACGUCUCUCAACGUCUCACUCUCGUCCGCAUCGCUCACAACGUCUCUCUCUCGCCCUCAUCGCUUACAACGUUUACCCAUCGCUCAACCUCAUUCACCAGAGAGAGUGCAAACCCAUGGUUUUUAAAGAGAAAAGUCAAGCGGGAACCUCACCUUCGGCGACGAUAACGAAUCAGGGUUUCAGAUUGAUGCUCAAAGGUUUGAAAGGAGAAAGUUUCCAGAAUCGCUUUUUGAUGCUCAGAAUUGAUUGCUCUCUUUGAUGCCUGGAAUUGGAACGGAACCGAUGAAGCAAACAAAUCAUCUUUGAAGAAGUUCAAACCAGCAUUAAACUUAGUUAAUUCGCCCGCUAUUGUGUCGUAAGAAAGAUCGUGACCGAGAGCAAUUACAUUAGUUCCAAAGACACCAGAGAGGUCGACAAUUGGGUUUGCUGUUGGUUUCAGUCCAAGAACCGAAUAAAUCAAACCUUCCAAUAUGAGAUAAGUUUCUACCGGUUCGUAAUUUCUUAAGUUCUUACUGGUUUGUAAUCCUUCCUAAGUUUCUACUGGUUUGGUAGGCUCAAGAUAAGAACACAACAUCUUUUCAACGGUUCAGAAUUUGUUUGCCUUUUUAAGAUUCAAGAAGCUUUUCUUAGGUUUAUACUCAUGGUCUGUUUCCAAUUCUGUUUCAGGUAGCGGUAUUGUAGCAGAAAUAAUGCAGUUUGAAUCUCGGGCUGCGGCGGCUAGAGGAAAUGUAGAAUUGGCAUGGCUUUGAGAUGUAGGGAGUAACAUUGCUCGGCGUAUCCAAUUCGUAAUUUCGACUGUAGCAAGCGGAUUACGUAUAGAGGUUCACAAUCAAUUGCAGUAACAAGAAGUGACUUUUUUUUUUGCAGGUUAUGGUUGGGUAACUUGGGACUCAAAAUAUGCAUUCCAAGGGAUAUAUAUUUAAUCAACAAGUUCUGUGUGGCGAAUUGCAUCCAUCAUACACAGUUGGAGCUCUCCAUAUAACAGUGAUAACAAAAUACUGUGUAGUACAUACAAACCACUGAAAACAAUAGAAAUUUAAGUGAGGCGGGUAAGUACAGCAGAAUCACUUGUGAACAACAUGAUGCAGCACUAGAUCCUUCGGCGGGUCUAUCAACAAGAACCAUCCCUGCUGGAUUUUGAGCUGGCUGAGCCCUUGGUAAUCUCUUGGCAAUUUCAUAAAAUACUUCAUUAGCAUUGGCUGCAGAUUUGGCAGAGGUUCGGUGUCUUCUACUUGAUACUGUUUGAUAUUUGUGAUGGUGAGUUGAAUAUGAAUCCCUGAAAGAUAUCAUCACAAAGCACAACGGAUACCUUUUCAACAGUUUGUACCUUGGAGCACGAGAAUCUCCGCGGCCCACAUCAGUCCCUCUUGAAGCACCAGCCCUUCUCCUCGCGGUUAUCCCCCAAGGUUUCUUCUGGUUAUCCUUCAAAGAGUUGGACCGACUAAUGGGUUCCCUCGUUGUUCAGCUAUGAAUCCGACAAUACGACUUCACUGCUGGGAUGUGCUUCAGACAUGACCAUUUCAUCAUUGCCAUGUGUUUCCGAUAUCACUACCUCAGUCAUGUGUCGUGCUUCAGUAACAAAUAAUCUCAUCAAUAUGUUGCGUCUCAGAUACAGUUCUGUUCUGAUUGUUCAUGCUGCUAGCGGAAUUCUUCAUUGGCUGGGAAAUGUUGAGGGAUUUAUAUGAUAUUAACAUGAGCAUUUUGCCACUGCAAGUUGGAUGACAUGCUAUGCAACAUCAUAAGGUUAUGACGAUAAUUGCCUCGGCAACGGUAGCAGCAUCUAACGGCUCACGAGGCACGGCUAGAGGACCUGCGGUCAUCGAAGCCAAUACAACAAUCGAGAGGUAGCAGCAAUUCUAAUCAGUAUCAUGGCAACCGAAUCACCGGGGAGUCGGUGCUUCCACAGAUGUACAUCACAGUAGUUACUCAUGGUCAUAAUGCUGAUGAAGAAUCCACUACACAUGAGCUUGAUCCGGUGUAGAGAAAUUAUG